GAAAUCAAAUCACAUGAUAUUCUUCUAAUUUAACUCAACGAACUAAAGUGAUCCAUCAUCAAUCUGUAUUUGAAAGAUACAUAAUAAAGAUUAUAUAUGAAUAAAGAGAAAUACAUAUGAAUACGUAGAACUAUAUACAAUUGAAUAUUCCAAAAUACAACUUAAUUCAUUUGAAUAAAGUACUUGAAUACAACAAAAUAUAACUGACUAAAACUCUUAAAUUUUAUUUCAGCCAGUUGCCGCGUGAAUGCCGCCGUCGCCGCUGUAUCCACUAAGAAGAAGAUUAGAGAGGUUGUGACUUCUCUCUUCUCUGAAAACAAAUAAACUAACAAAAAAAGAGGGAUAAGAGCUUAGUGCUUCAAUGGCUAUGGCAAAUGAGAAGAAGAAACAAAGCUCUACUAAAGGCAGCGGAGGCGUUUAUAUUGAAAAGGAAAGAGAAGUUAGUGGCUGAGAAUUGUUUUUUAAAAAGAGAGAGAAGAAACUUAGGGUUUCUCA
rnacentral:lncRNA from 1 species